UUUACCCUGCAUAGUGCGUGUAGACAGAAUUUUUAGAACCUACAAGUUUAUAAGAGGGGCCAAUCUCGAAAAUACGGCGUGCAUGCUCACACGAUUUAGUAGUGAGAAGCCCAUGAGUAUUUUGGUAGGCACCCACCUGUUUUUCGGAGCAGGUCCUUAAAAAUUCAGACAUCUUACGGCUAAAGCGGGGAUUUU
rfam:Clostridium sp. CAG:575 genomic scaffold, scf141